UACGUAGGGUGCAAGCGUUAAUCGGAAUUACUGGGCGUAAAGCGUGCGCAGGCGGUUUUGUAAGUCUGACGUGAAAUCCCCGGGCUCAACCUGGGAAUUGCGUUGGAGACUGCAAGGCUAGAAUCUGGCAGAGGGGGGUAGAAUUCCACGUGUAGCAGUGAAAUGCGUAGAGAUGUGGAGGAACACCGAUGCCGAAGGCAGCCCCCUGGGUCAAGAUUGACGCUCAUGCACGAAAGCGUGGGGAGCAAACAGG
rnacentral:rRNA from 1 species